ensembl:snRNA
GUAUUGUAUGAAAGGAGAGAAAGUUAGCACUCCCCUUGAUAU